UACGGAGGAUCCAAGCGUUAUCCGGAAUUACUGGGCGUAAAGAGUUGCGUAGGUGGCAUGGUAAGUCGGUAGUGAAAGCGUGGGGCUCAACCUCAUACACAUUAUCGAAACUGCCAAGCUAGAGGACGAGAGAGGUUAUUGGAAUUCCCAGUGUAGGAGUGAAAUCCGUAGAUAUUGGGAGGAACACCGAUGGCGUAGGCAGAUAACUGGCUCGUUCCUGACACUAAGGCACGAAAGCGUGGGGAGCAAACGGG
rnacentral:rRNA from 1 species